AGGGCUAAAAGUUCUUCAGUUGGUUCGUCUUCUUACCCAUCUCUCGUGUCUUCCACUAGAGUUCUCCACUUCCUAAUAGAACGAAGUUCAAACUUUGUGAUGGCGACUGAAUCCAAAACUGCGACUGAGGAAGUUAAGAUUGACCUCUUUGAAGAUGAUGACGAGUUUGAAGAGUUUGAGAUUAAUGAAGAGUGGGAAGUCAAAGAAGAAGGGAAAGAAAUUACACAGCAGUGGGAAGACGA
rnacentral:misc_RNA from 1 species